GAAGAACUUAAGUGGAUGUCUGUCCUCCAGAAUUAAGCCAAAAAACAUACCAUGCAGCUUUCUAACACAAGGUUUUAAAUCUCUCCUAGUGAAACAGAUGCCUUGCCUCCCAUUUGGUAAAGGCAGGAAAGGAACAAACGUGAGCAACAUGAGCAUUUUCCUCCACAACACAUCUCAUCGUUAUGGCUUGAACAUGACUUCCACUGUAUCCCUUUAUUCCAAUUGUUUGACCAAAUUUAUGCCCCAGGGCAGACGUACGAGAAAAUGCCAAAGCACCACAAAGUGAGAGACACAGCUAGUGGUACGGUACUUCUUGCCACACAAAAUGCCAAUAUAAAUAUGUUAGAACAAGUUACAAGUGUAUCAUACUUAAGACAAAAAGAAAAAAAAAUAAAUAUAUAUAUUUUCUUAAAGAGCAGAACAAAUCUCAAGCAGCCAAGUGGUGAAGUUGCAGUGAUGUACAGUAGGUGAUGUAGCCCUACAGCCUCUCGGGAGGAUACACUGAAAGAAGACUUCUGCAAACGCAUCUUGGCAAAGUAUGGGUACAGAAUGCAGUGGUUGGCUGGCACUCACUAUGGUACAUAAAUGUUAAUGGCAGACUGGGGCUGUUCGUGGACCUGCUCUUCACCUUCAUGCUCCUCUGUGUGGCUCUCCUGUGGGCAGAAAAACACCCCAAAACAUCCUUCAGCAGAAGCAUGUCAUCAUCUCCUCCCGCUCAGAGUUCAACUAGCCUCAAGCUUAACUUCUGAUUUUCCUUCCAAUGAGCAGACAGCAGUAGCUAACAAUUGCAAGGUUGCCCCCCAGUUUGCUUCAGUACCCUUGGAGCCUUGAACUGGCUCUAUCUCAUCUCCCUGCCUGCACCCAGUUCUUCUAUUUGGCCUUUCACAAGGCUAUAUCUGUACAAUUGCUUAAUAGCAAAUGACACGCUUGAUAUAUUAAAAUUAAAUUAAAUGAAGACAUAAAACUGACAUAAAUGCUAACUCCCAGGUAACAUAAAUAAGUGGGUCAUGAGGGGCUCCACGUACCAUAGCAUCCCAGUGUCCUCCCAUUUUGUCUCUCCAAGGAUUUCUGAACCUGCCUGUUACAGUUCUCACACAAUCUUCACUCCAGGCUCUUAUCACAAAACAGACAAGACACUUCUGCUAUCGUUUGCUUUAAAAAUUAAACCCAGCCUCAUUUUUUAGAUCAAACAUCACUUCCCAAAGUGAUAUGUCUAUGUUAGUACAGACCAGAGUCCAAAGGCUACUGCAAAUGUGGUUUUAAAUAUUAUGCAGAAAAUAUAGCCAAAGAUUUGCUUAUUAUGAAUGCAUUUUCUUUGAAAGAAAUUUAAGUCCAGCAUUCACUGACUUACAGAAGCUACUGCUAUAGGCAGGUGAUGUUUGAUGAACAGCUCCCUCUUGCAAAUGUCUAUUACACCUACUAUUUUCUAGAGCUGUGCCGCUGAAUCCCUGUUCUGAGAGACUAAGAGGAAUGCUGAAUCUUCACUGCUGAGGAUGCAGGUUUUAUACAAAUUCCAAUUUACAGCCAGCAGACCUGUUAUCUUGAGUUGACCUAGAUGCACCAGCACUCAGAAAGGCAGGCUGCUGCUUACAGCGCUGUUUCUGCAUUCCCCUAAAGCUUCUCCCGGGUGGAUUUUCAUCUUUCCACAGCGCCGUUCACUGAGAAGAUCUGACACAUCUACUCCCUGUCUUGCACUGGCAGAGCUCAGCUGUAGGCAGUUUCUAAGGACAGUCCUGUUCCAGAACCCUGAGCUGCCAUUCAAAACACACCAUUGCCAACACGAUACCUCUGCAGAACUUGCCCGGUGCCUGGUGCUUCUCAUUAGAAGCAAGAGGUUUGGACAACAGACUGUAAGAGAUUGAUAUUGUUAAGGUUUACAAACUGAGGCCAAAACUGAAAGAAAAGAGAGGCCCUAUGUGAAUCUUCCCAGAACAGUUCAAAGUAGCUUAUGCAAUGAGAAAGUACCUCCCUUCUGGCAGCAAAAUAUGUCUGCUUCUAAAAGAACAGGUGAAUAAGGUCUCCAACGUUUGCCGAUAGAAAUAUAGAAAAAAAAUUGAAAUAUUCACCUGUUUACCACAUGCAGAAACAGCCACAUUUCAAUUGGAAGCGAGCUUUCUACCACUCAGGUGCUAUUUUGAGGUAGAAGUGAAUAUGUUGAUCAAUACAAUUGCACUUUAGUGUCUUAUGGCCCUCUGGGGGGAACAAUGCCCUUAUUACAUGUGGUACCUCAAGUCAGAAUGUCUUCAUGCAUAGCAUCUAAGAACCACAUCCUCUCUAAUGGGUUGCAAGAGUGCGAGGCUUCUGGAGCGCAGGAGCUUUGUGGGCAGAAGCUGACAGCUGUGGGAACAAGAUCCUGCACUACAGGGUGAGAAAGCUGAGGCCUGGUUAACCCUAAAGCUGUGGGCUGCUCUGUUAUGUACCUCUUCAGUAGGCUCCACAUACACAGCUUUUGAGAUACCAAAUAGAAAGCAUAUUCAAGCAGGUGUUACAGGUCACCUAUGUGCUCUCCUUUCAUGCAGAACAGGCACAGUCUCUAGCCAUAGGAAAUGGCUGGGGAACGUACUCCACAGCUCUGAAGGAGAGCAGUGGCUCCUCUCUUGCCAGGGUUACCUUUGAUGGAAAUGGUAAAUCUUAUGUGACUACCAGAGAAGUUCUGAGAAUUGGACACGUGCUUUUCAGUAUGCACAGCUUGUAUAAAUACAUGAAAUGGGAAAGACAAGAGUCACUAUGCACAAUUACCUUGGGACUGUGGAAUCUCCUUGAAUAGCAUCCCCUAAUAAGGAAAGCAGUGGAAGGUCUAUUUAGAGCAUUUAUUUCUGACUCAGAUCACAAGGCCAUGGCCAUCUCUGCCUCCCGCUACAAAAGAUGCUUGCUUUUGACCCCUCAGUUCAUGUGCCUUGAACUCUUCAGGUGUGCCUGCAGAUGGAGGAGCUGUGGUCUACGAAAACCAGCUGCUAGGGGUGAGUGCCUUGCCCAAAAGCAGCAGUAGCAAAUGUACAGCCUGCUGGAGCAGAAAGUCACAAAACCAAUGGAAUUUUAAGCUAUUGGUUUGAAAAUGUGAGCUGUGCAACAGAUAGACCAAAGAGCAACACCCACCCAGCUUCUGCAUGAACUGAGCCACAACAGCCUAUCAAGGAAAGCAAAUGCAACAGUGUGUUCACUUUACACCAAGACCUAUAUGGUCUGGCUUUCAUAAUGACACGCAAAGCCUCUUCCGGCUCUUCAGACAGAAGCUAUAAAACCCGACCACCAAAUGCUCCACAUACUAUCCAAGACCUCCAUCCUGUCUACAAGUAGUCACAGCAUGAGGCCACUUCCCACAACACUCAAACAUAUCCUUUUUAAACACUAUUCUUGGUCUAUUUUGAUUUUUAAAAAGAAUUUUCU
rnacentral:lncRNA from 1 species